UACGUAGGGUGCGAGCGUUGUCCGGAAUUAUUGGGCGUAAAGAGCUCGUAGGCGGUUUGUCGCGUCGGCCGUGAAAACUUGGGGCUCAACCCCAAGCCUGCUUCCGAUACGGGCAGGCUAGAGUUCGGUAGGGGAGACUGGAAUUCCUGGUGUAGCGGUGAAAUGCGCAGAUAUCAGGAGGAACACCGGUGGCGAAGGCGGGUCUCUGGGCCGAUACUGACGCUGAGGAGCGAAAGCGUGGGGAGCGAACAGG
rnacentral:rRNA from 1 species